rnacentral:rRNA from 1 species
CAUAGCCACGGUAAUACAGAGGGUGCGAGCGUUAAUCGGAUUUACUGGGCGUAAAGCGUGCGUAGGCGGCUAAUUGAGUCGGAUGUGAAAUCCCCGAGCUUAACUUGGGAAUUGCAUUCGAUACUGGUUAGCUAGAGUGUGGGAGAGGAUGGUAGAAUUCCAGGUGUAGCGGUGAAAUGCGUAGAGAUCUGGAGGAAUACCGAUGGCGAAGGCAGCCAUCUGGCCUAACACUGACGCUGAGGUACGAAAGCAUGGGGAGCAAACAGGAUUAGAUACCCGAGUAGUCCCUGUCUCUUAUACA